rnacentral:misc_RNA from 1 species
AAGUCGUAACAAGGUUUCCGUAGGUGAACCUGCGGAAGGAUCAUUAAUAAAUGUUACCUCGGUAACUUUAUAAUCCUUAACACCUGUGCAUCUUGUCGCUCCGGCGAUAUUAUACAAACAUCAGUGUAAAGAAUGUAAAUUAUUAUAACAAAUACAACUUUCAACAACGGAUCUCUUGGCUCUC